CGCGCCGGUUGGGCUGCAUGGACUCCCCCCGGCGGCUGCCCCCAUCCCGCAGGCUGGGCGGGACGUAUUUGCCCGUCUUGCUCUGCUGUGCCUGGACCGGCUCCGGUUCCCCUGGCAGUUUCUCCUUCUCCCCCGUGGACAGCCCCAGCUGCUCGGCCAGCUCCUUCUGCAUGGGCCCCAGCGUGUCCUUGUAGGGGCAGCGCGUGGUCCAAUGGUCGCCCUUACAGAUCCGGCACGAGACGAUCUUCUGGCCCUUCAGUUUGUUCAUGGGGUCCUCCUCCUCCUGGCAGUUCAGGUCCUCUUUGCUGGUGAUGAAGGUCAUGAAGACGUCGUCGCUGACUGUGGUGGUGGCAACGUUGGGGCCGGGAGCGUCGAACUCCGAGUUGCCAAAUUUCUUCCAGUUCUUACGCCGCGCCACCGCUUUGGAGGCCUUCCUGGUUUCGAUGCGGAAGGUGCGGAUGAUCUUCACCUUCCGGCCGUCCUCCUCCUCACGGUACUCAGUGAUGGUUUUGAUGUUCCCAUUGAUCAGCUCCUUUGGGGAGGGCAGUGGGCCGUCUUCUCCUCCCUCCUCCUCCACCUGAUCCGCCCAGCUGGGCUUGGAGUCGUAGUCCCCCGUCGGCAUCGCGCUGCCCUCUCCCUCACGCGUCCCCACCGGAAGGAGGCGCUUCACUUCCG
rnacentral:lncRNA from 1 species